GACGAACGCUGGCGGCGUGCUUAACACAUGCAAGUCGAACGGAAAGGCCCUGCUUUUGUGGGGUGCUCGAGUGGCGAACGGGUGAGUAACACGUGAGUAACCUGCCCUUGACUUUGGGAUAACUUCAGGAAACUGGGGCUAAUACCGGAUAGGAGCUCCUGCUGCAUGGUGGGGGUUGGAAAGUUUCGGCGGUUGGGGAUGGACUCGCGGCUUAUCAGCUUGUUGGUGGGGUAGUGGCUUACCAAGGCUUUGACGGGUAGCCGGCCUGAGAGGGUGACCGGCCACAUUGGGACUGGGAUACGGCCCGGACUCCUACGGGAGGCAGCAGUGGGGAAUAUUGCACAAUGGGCGGAAGCCUGAUGCAGCAACGCCGGGUGCGGGAUGACGGCCUUCGGGUUGUAAACCGCUUUCGCCUGUGACGAAGCGUGAGUGACGGUAAUGGGUAAAGAAGCACCGGCUAACUACGU
rnacentral:rRNA from 1 species